AGCAGCCGCGGUAAUUCCAGCUCCAAUAGCGUAUAUUAAAGUUGCUGCAGUUAAAAAGCUCGUAGUUGAAUUUCGGGACCGAUAUAUCGGUCGUGCCUCGGUACGUACUGGUAUUUUCGGUUUCUACCUUCUGACGAACCUUGAUGUCAUUAAUUUGGUGUCUUGGGGAAUCAGGACUGUUACUUUGAAAAAAUUAGAGUGUUUAAAGCAGGCUCACGCUUGAAUACAUUAGCAUGGAAUAAUGAAAUAGGACGUUUGAUUCUAUUUUGUUGGUUUCUAGGAUCGACGUAAUGAUUAAUAGGGAUAGUUGGGGGCAUUAGUAUUCAAUUGUCAGAGGUGAAAUUCUUGGAUUUAUUGAAGACUAACUACUGCGAAAGCAUUUGCCAAGGAUGUUUUCAUUAAUCAAGAACGAAAGUUAGGGGAUCGAAGACGAUCAGAUACCGUCGUAGUCUUAACCAUAAACUAUGCCGACUA
rnacentral:misc_RNA from 1 species